rnacentral:rRNA from 1 species
UACGUAGGGUGCAAGCGUUGUCCGGAAUUAUUGGGCGUAAAGAGCUCGUAGGCGGUCUGUCGCGUCGGAUGUGAAAACCCGGGGCUUAACCCCGGGCCUGCAUUCGAUACGGGCAGACUCGAGUGUGGUAGGGGAGACUGGAACUCCUGGUGUAGCGGUGAAAUGCGCAGAUAUCAGGAAGAACACCGGUGGCGAAGGCGGGUCUCUGGGACACUACUGACGCUGAGGAGCGAAAGCGUGGGGAGCGAACAGG